UUCCGUCGACGGUUGUGUGCUGCCUGUCACGACUAAGACUCCUUUCACAUCUGCAGACCCUGGAGGGCACCACAACAACUGCUUAAAGAGGACAGGUGUGCUUCAUCUGGGAGCAGGUACCCCCCCAACAACCCUUUGUGGAAAAAUGGGGAGGGGCCACUGAAAGCCUUUAAUUAGCCUGCACGCCCGCAAGCUAAAGAGCUAGCAUCACAUGCUCAUUUCUCCGGCACGCAUGAUCCUACCAUUCUCUUUGAUACGCUCAUAAAGAGGAUUUACGAGUCCGACUUACAGGUCUGGGCCGUGGCGAGGUAUUAAGUAUGCAGGUGGAAUGCCUCGCUUUUGUGUUAACUUUUUUUUGAGGCCUCUUUGUUGGCACAACAUGAAGGCUGUGGUUGCCACUGGGAGGAAGCGGGCGGCAGGAAAGACCUCUGGCCACCACCGGAUCCUCUUUCCCGGGUGCAAUCCAUCAGCCUUUGCAAGGUGUCCUGACGUCCUCCGUGAACACCUCACACGUCACUGGCCGGAGCUAAUGAGCUGAAGAAACAAACAGGCGGCUAAAAACGCGACAUUAUCAGCAGGGGCGUCCAAAUGCUGUCAAAUGAUUACCCUAUUGUGGAGAGGCGGAGCCAACGGUCCGACGGAGCGGCAGGGCAUGCUGGAGCCCGGCCCAAGAUGGCGGCAAAGAGGCAGAGAUUGCAGCCGAGCGGAGAGGCGGGGCGUGCAGGGAGCGACGCCGCAAUCAUGUGCAGGUGUGUGGAUCGCGCACCAGUACAUAAUUAACUGAUCUCCUCACUAUGUAUAAAAGGGAGAAGGAGGAGAGAUCGGCAGCAACGACCGAGGAACGGAAACAAAGAGCAGACGAGGACGACGAGGACGGCAGCUGAAAAGCGGACUGUGAGCGAGCAGAAGGAGAGGAGCAGCUGAAAAGCGAUCCGACUUGAAGACAAAGCUUUAUUUGAAAAAAUAAAACAGUCAAACCUGCUCAAAA